GACGAACGCUGGCGGCGUGCUUAACACAUGCAAGUCGAGCGGUAAGGCCCUUUCGGGGGUACACGAGCGGCGAACGGGUGAGUAACACGUGGGUGACCUGCCUUUAGCUCUGGGAUAAGCCUGGGAAACCGGGUCUAAUACCGGAUAUGACUCCGCGGCGCAUGUUGUGGGGUGGAAAGCCUUGUGCGGCUGGAGAUGGGCCCGCGGCCUAUCAGCUUGUUGGUGGGGUGAUGGCCUACCAAGGCGACGACGGGUAGCCGGCCUGAGAGGGCGACCGGCCACACUGGGACUGAGACACGGCCCAGACUCCUACGGGAGGCAGCAGUGGGGAAUCUUGCGCAAUGGGCGAAAGCCUGAACGCAGCGACGCCGCGUGAGGGAUGACGGCC
rnacentral:rRNA from 1 species